rnacentral:rRNA from 1 species
UACGAAGGGGGCUAGCGUUGUUAGGAAUUACUGGGCGUAAAGCGCACGUAGGCGGACUACUAAGUCAGGGGUGAAAUCCCGGGGCUCAACCCCGGAACUGCCUUUGAUACUGGUAGUCUCGAGUCCGGAAGAGGUGAGUGGAAUUCCGAGUGUAGAGGUGAAAUUCGUAGAUAUUCGGAGGAACACCAGUGGCGAAGGCGGCUCACUGGUCCGGUACUGACGCUGAGGUGCGAAAGCGUGGGGAGCAAACAGG